GCCACAAUAGUUCAGUGGAAGAACACUGGUAUUGUAAACCAGGUGUCGUGAGUUCAAUCCUCACUGGUGGCU